GGUGAUCGGGGGAGGCGGCCAAUGGGCGCUACUGCUAGGCCAGGCCGUCAUCGCCGCGUGCGAUCGGGGAAAGCCGCCCGCUGCGGCCCGUCACGCUACGUCACAACACGUCAUGCCAGCCGUAGCAACGCCGUUGUGGACCCCCAGCGGUAGCCAGCGGGAGGACGGGUGGUGCUGCCGCCGCUGAGGCGAGGCGCGCCGCGGCUGCUGCCCCUGUGCGCUACCUUCCCCCCGCCGCCGCCGCACUUAACCACCCGUUACGCGUUUUUUCCCCCUUUACAGUUACGCGUGAGGUAGCCAGCUUUCUCUACGUCAGGCUUUGCUUCACCAUCCUCACCCGCACCUUACACCCGCUUCAAGCGGGGGCUGCGUGUUGAAAUUCACAGACUCUCGAGAGGAAUACGGGCCCUCCGGCGCUGUAUUUCUGUUAGAUUUUUUUCUGGAACCGUUGCUGCUUCGGGCUGAAGCCAUGCCGUUUGGUGGCUGGAGCUACUUCAACCUUGCGCUGGGAAUACCAAGCACAGAAAACAUUUUUAACUGCAGCAAAGACGAGAGGACGAGGAAGAUGUACCAAACAACAACGUCCCCGCGUGGACAUUCGUGGAAAAUAACCUGAGCCAGCAGAGGGUAUCGCUGCUCUCUCUGCUGCGGUCGGUGCUGCAGCAGCUCUGCCUCACGCGCUGCAGUCCAGCAACUGCCGCCUCUGACUUCAAUUAGAGGUGGCUAAAGCAUUUCUCACCGUGACCCCGCCCAGCCCCUCCCCCUUCAAAAAGACCGAGAUCCUUCAGACCGCACCUCAACGGUAACUUCACUGAGGUUGCCACUGCUGCAGUCCCGUCCUCCUCUGCAGUGGAGCAUAGGGAGCUACGGGGGACAGAACUCGUAGAGUAUAAAGCAGUGAAUAGUUUCCUACUUUAGCUGCCAGCCCAGCAAAAACAACAAGAUGUGGUACCAGGAGCUCCUGCAACUGAUAAGGAAAAAAAGUCCCCAGAACAGGAGAGCACAAUGAGAUGCAUUUGAAAAUCUCUGCUUGCUCCAUUUUUGAGACAUUGAUAAAAGACUAGGUUAGCCUGAAUGGAAAUGCAAGAUUUGCAGCUAUGUAUUGUCGUUGUUUCUUUUUUCCCACUUAGAACCUUGUUGUAUGUUUUCUAAUUUCUUUGCUAAAACAACAUGCACUCCUCUCACCCAUUGGCUCAUGCAAAGCAAGUUUAGUUAAAGCUGACACAUUCAGGGUAUAUAUUUCCCCAGAGAUAAAUCUACAUGUAGGCCCCCCAGGAAACUUGCAUGCACAAAUGUGUUGAGGGCAAAGCUGCACGGGCAAUUAGGAUAGUAGACGGGCCAGGUAUAGCAAUAAGAAGUUUACUUAAUACCCACAACACCUCACAGCUCCAAGCAACCUGCAGAAUUACCCAGCAAUCUACUCAAACAGGUUAAUAUCUGCUUCUCAGUCAACCUUGGCAGUUAGUCAAAAAGGCAACAAUAAGAUAUUUGGAAAGUAAUGUUUGUUGUCUGUUUGCACUAGGACAAGGAGAGAAGGUAGCAGAAAAUAAAAAAAAGGUCAGGUGUUGCACAGUCAGAAAGGAGUCUCAGAAGAGGAGCUGGAUCACACAGGAAAAGCAACAGUUGAGGGUGGAGACAGUUUUGCGUGGAGAAGCUGACCAAAGCGGAGGAUAGAACUGAACAGGAGGACACUCUCAGAAGCCAAGAACACCCAAAUCCAGAGCUCAAUAAACAUGUUUGCAGCUUAUGAUAUUUCAAAUAAAGACUGAGGCAGAGUCUGGAGAGCCUGCAACCAAGUGAGCUGGUCUGAGGCUUGCCUGCCCUCAGAAAAAAGCAUUAAUUCCUCUCAGCCCUUCAAUAAGCAGUUUCUAUACUAAAAUCUCCAAAAAAGGAUAGCUAAUGAAGGUAGUGGGGAAGGGGGCUGAAAAGCACUGACUUAACUUUCAUAAGCAGUAUGAUCCCAGCCAACCCCAGUUGCUGCAAGCUGGUAUUUUGGGUCAAAUGUCGAAUAAAAGCUACAAGGGGACAAUGCAUGCACUACUCCCCUGCUCUGCUUGGUGUGUUAGAUGUGAAACAAGGUGAGUGGGAGAGCUCGCACAGACCUAUAUCUCAGGUGGAUAUAGUAUGUAACCAAUAAUACGUAAGCCAUGCUAAGAAACAGUUAAAAUACUUUGAAGCAAGGUUUAAGUAUAGCAAGUCACACAUACAAAGUUAAUGAAAAUUUAGGCUUAAAUCCAUACUUGCCUCAGUUUCCUGAUUGUUAAGUAAAGAUAAUCACAAAGAUCUUCUGAAAAUAAUCCGGGAGGGUUUGUGGUUUGUUUUUUUUUAAUUAAAUGAGAAGAACCAUGUAGUAGGGUGGCAUGUGUAGUGAUGCACAAGAAAUUAAAAUAAUAAGAUGCAUUCA